GAUGAACGCUGGCGGCGUGCCUAAUACAUGCAAGUCGAGCGAACAGACGAGGAGCUUGCUCCUCUGACGUUAGCGGCGGACGGGUGAGUAACACGUGGAUAACCUACCUAUAAGACUGGGAUAACUUCGGGAAACCGGAGCUAAUACCGGAUAAUAUAUUGAACCGCAUGGUUCAAUAGUGAAAGACGGUUUUGCUGUCACUUAUAGAUGGAUCCGCGCCGCAUUAGCUAGUUGGUCAGGUAACGGCUUACCAAGGCAACGAUGCGUAGCCGACCUGAGAGGGUGAUCGGCCACACUGGAACUGAGACACGGUCCAGACUCCUACGGGAGGCAGCAGUAGGGAAUCUUACGCAAUGGGCGAAAGCCUGACGGAGCAACGCCGCGUGAGUGAUGAAGGUCUUCGGAUCGUAAAACUCUGUUAUUAGGGAAGAACAAAUGUGUAAGUAACUAUGCACGUCUUGACGGUACCUAAUCAGAAAGCCACGGCUAACUACGUG
rnacentral:rRNA from 1 species